CAAACCUGUACAAAUGCUCAGAGAAUUUCAGCAAACCAAGAUAUUGAAAGAAUUGUGAAUAAUCAGCAGUAGUGUCAUGGAGUAUGUUGGGCUUCUACCACACCCACUUUAGAAAUAUGAAAACUGAUCUCCUAAGAAGGCAUUUUUGAAGGCACUCAGAUGCUCAAUGGCCGAAAUCAGAGUAGAAUGCAGGCAGGCAGUUUUCCUGUCAGAUACCACAGAGAGUGAAUGCUUUGAAUAUAUUCCUUUGGAUAUACUGAGCAAUUUUCAACAGCAAUUAUUUAAAAUAUUUAUUAAAAAUUUUAGGAAAAAAUUUGUCUCCCCAAAAGUGUGUAGGGCAGACAAGGCUGGAAGGAGAAUUUGGAAGGACAAACGGAAGCAUCUAGCAUCAUAGCAGAGGAGUCUGCAGACAGAGUAAACUCAACAGCAGAGAGGAUAGAAGAAAGGGGAUUCUGAGCUUCUGAGUCAUCCUCAGUGGAGAUGGAGAGAUGUCAGUUCCCAGGUCUCCCUGGACCUAUGAGAUGUUGUGUUAAUCCAACAGUCAGAAGAGGAAGUACCCCUGUACCAUCUGAACGCAGCCUGUACUCUGGUUUCCAGCAAACAAAGGUGGAUUAAGUGCAUUAAUAACAGGUGGCCUUUGAGUCCCUUUCCGUUCAUUACUGAGGCUCAUUGCAACUCUAGGAAAGGAUCUUAAUUGUUUUCUUUCUUUGGAGACAUAUGCCAGUGCCCACAUUUUUUCCAUUUCCAUUUCAUCUCAUAAAUCACAGCAAGUACUAUGAUUUGGAAGCAGCAUAGAGCAUAAGCUGAAUGUUUAUGUGCCAUUGCUUUGCUCAUAAAACCUUUACUAAUUACUAAUGAGGCCAAUAAAUUUAAGAUUGGGAGGCUUUGCA
ensembl:lncRNA